rnacentral:rRNA from 1 species
UACAGAGGUCUCAAGCGUUGUUCGGAUUCAUUGGGCGUAAAGGGUGCGUAGGUGGCGCGCUAAGUCAGGUGUGAAAUUUCGGAGCUUAACUCCGAAACUGCAUUUGAUACUGGCGUGCUUGAGGACUGGAGAGGAGACUGGAAUUCACGGUGUAGCAGUGAAAUGCGUAGAUAUCGUGAGGAGGACCAGUGGCGAAGGCGGGUCUCUGGACAGUUCCUGACGCUGAGGCACGAAGGCCAGGGGAGCAAACGGG